UGUGUACUCCCUCGUCCCAAAGUUCCUGUCUUAGAUUAGUCUAGAUACGGCUAUAUCUAAUACUAAAACGUGACUUUAUACAUCUGUAUUUAGACAAAUGUAAGACAAGAAUUUUGGGAUGGAGGGAGUAUUUC
rfam:Triticum urartu cultivar G1812 contig460313, whole genome shotgun sequence.